AUCUUUAUUGAGGACGUGAGCGUUGCUCCUGGUGCUGAACAGAGCGCGAAGCUCUCCCUGCGUAACUCCUGGCACGCGCCGGUCUCGCCAGGCCAAUGGGUGGACCUGGCGCAACAGACGUCACGAGAGGAGCGGAGGCGAGGGGUGAACGCGGAGCACUCCAAUCGCUCCCAACUAGAGGUCCACCCAGGACCCAGAGACCUGGAUUUGAGGCUGCUGGGCGGCAGAUGGAGCGAUCAGAAGACCAGGAGACGGGAGCUGGAGUGCAGUGGCUGUUCACAAGCGUGAAAGCAAAGAUUAAAAAAUUUGUUUUUAUAUUAAAAAAGUUUUUAGAGAUGGGGGUCUCACUUUGUGGCCCAGCCUGCAGUGCAGUGGCGCGAUCAUAGCUCCCUGCUGCCUCGACUUCCUAGGCUCAAGGGACCCUCCUGUCUUGGCCUCUGAGUAGCUGAGACUACAGGUAUGCUCCACCACACCCGGCUAAUUUCUUUACUUUUUUGUAGGGACAGGGUCUCAUCAUUUUGCCCAGGCUGGUCUGGAACUCUUGAGCUCAAGUGAUCCUCCUGCCUUGGCCUCCCAAAGUGCUGGGAUUACAGGCAUGAGCCACCACAGCCAGUCAAGAUUUUUUAACAGGACAGGACUGUCUAACAGGAUUGUCUAAUAGGACAUAAAAUACACUAACUAUAAAGGAAAGUAUUGAUAAAUUGGAUUACAUAAUGAUUGAGAACCUUCUUUUAUCAAAAGACAUUAAAAGUGGGAGAAGAUACUCUAAGAUAGAACAUCCAUGGACUCAUAUCCUGAAUACAUACUACAAAUCAAUAAAAUAUACACAAACAGAUAAAUGGGGCAAGAGAUUCGAAUAGUUACUUCACAAAAGAGAACAUUCAAAUAAUAUUGAAAAGGUGCUCAACCUCUUUAGUCAUCAGGGAAAUGCAAAUUGAAAAAAAUAAAUACUGGCUAGGUGAGGCGACUCACAUCUGUAAUCCCAGCACCUUGGGAGGCUGAGAUGGACAGAUCACUUGAGGCCAGGAGUUUGAGACCAGCCUGGCCAGCAUGGCAAAACCCUGUCUUUACUCAAAGCACAAAAGUUAGCCGGGCAUGUUGGCCCACGCCUGUGGUCCCAGCUACUUGGGAGGCUGAGGCAUGAGAAUCGCUUGAACCCAGGAGGAGGAGGAUGCAGUGAGCUGAGAAUGCACCACUGGACUCCAUCCUGGGCAACAGAACAAGACUUUACCUCCCAAAAAAAAGGUGGAGAGGGGAGGACUACUGCACUCUACCAGGAUAGCGAAAAUAAAAAUGACUUGACAAUACCAAGUUUUGGGAAAGAUAGAAGCUUGAACUGUCUGACACUACUGAAGGAGCAUACAUUGGUACAACUACUUUGGAAACCUAUUUGGCAGUAUCUGCCUGUGACCGUGAAAUUCCACUCUUUAUUUGGGAAUAUACCCUCCUAAAAUAAUGCGUAUGAGCAACAUGAAGACAUGUACAACAGUGCUCCUGGCAGCAGUAUUUGCAACAGACAAAAAUUGGAAACAACUGAAAGGUCAUCAACAGUGGAUGGAUACGCUGGGUGUGGUGGCUCAUGCCUGUAAUCCCAGCACUUUGGGAGGCCAAGGAGGGUGGAUCACCCGAAGUCAGGAGUUUAAGACCAGCCUGGCCAACAAGGAGAAACCUUGUCUCUACUAAAAAUACAAAAAUUAGCUGGGUGUGGUGGCGCACGCCUGUAAUCCCAGCUACUCAGGAGGCUGAGACAGAAUUACUUGACCCCUCAUCCUGGGGUUGGCCUUAUGCAUGUGCAGCUUAUGGCUCAGCACAUAUGCCAAAGACACGGUGCCAGCACUUUUUUUUUUUUUUUUGAGUUGGGGUCUCACUCUCACCCAGGCUGGAGUGCAGUGGUGCAAUUGCUCCUGAGCAUAAGUGAUUCUUCCACCUCAGCCUCCCGAGUAGCUAGGACUACAGGUGUGGGCCACCACGCCCAGCUAAUUUUUGUAUUUUUUGUAGGGAUGGGGUCUUCCUAUGCUGUCCAGGUUGGUCUCAAACUCCUGGGCUCAAGCGAUUUUCCCUCUACGGCCUCCCAAAGUGCUAGGAUUACAGGUGUGAGCCACCUGCACACUUACACACCCAUUCCUAGCUGCAGCUUCAGAAACUUCUGACCCAGGAAGUCAGCCCAAACCCCCUCACUGUCCCCCAAAAUUUGAGUUCUUCUCAACUCUACCCAAACACUCCCCUUUCUUGGGGUGGCUUAAUGCUCUGUCUCAUUGCCCUUCCUACUGCCUACCCACAUAUCACAUCUACCAACCUUCCACGCAGCCAUAGACGUGUUCUAUCAAAGACAGUUCCCUCCCCAAGAGGACUUCUCUGACUAAUCAUAAUCUGCCUUUGGUUGUAAUUUUGUGUUGUGAGGCCACCACAAGGGUGUUUGCUGAAGAGGUCCUGGAGUCCCCUCAGAGCACGCUUGCUACCAGGAGUCAGCAUGUAUGUAACUUCAUCAGCUGGGGCUUCUGCUUCUCUUACAAACAGGUGCCAGGGCCCACCUUGGGCACUCCUGCAGAAGUGAGCAGAGGCUUCUGCCAUGGGGCCAUACCUUGUUUGACCUAGGUGCCAGCACUGGGACAGAUGGCACAGCACAGUCCUGCCGUUCCCACAGGGUUUGUGUGUGCAUCAUGACAGGAAACACAGCAAGUCACAAAGGCUGUCCGAUGUCCCUGCCUCAGCUUCCUGAGGACCUGUGCUUUUUACUGAAAUACACUAUCUCAUAAGAAUACUUCCCUGCCUUCCGCACCCCAGUGAGAAAGGAGUUGUGACUGGAAGUCAGUGUCAUUGACUUUGGAUAUGAAAAGGAGGCAGAAUGUCUCCAGGGUUAAAAGUAGUAACCAGGCCAGGCGUGGUGGCUUAUGCGUGUAAUCCCAGCAUUUUGGGAGGCGGAGGUGAGUGGGUCACCUGAGGUCAGGAGUUCAAGACCAGCCGGGCCAACAUGGCGAAAUCCCAUCUGUACUGAAAAUACAGGAAUUAGCCGGGUGUGGUGGCAGGCGCCUGUAAUACCAGCUACUGGGGAGGCUGAGGCAGGAAGAAUUGCUUGAACCCAGGAGGUUAAGGGUUGCAGUGAGCCAAGAUCACACCACUGCACUCCAGCCUGGGUGACAGAACACGAUUCCAUCUGAAAAAAAAAAAAAAAAAAAAAAGCGGGGGCUGGGCGCGGUGGCUCACACCUGUAAUCCCAGCACUUUGGGAGCCUGAGACAGGUGGAUCGUCUGAGAUCAGGAGUUCGAGACCAGCCUGACCAACAUGGUGAAACCCCGUCUCUACUAAAAAUACAAAAAUUAGCUGGAUGUGGUGGUGGGCACCUGUAAUCCCAGCUAUUCGGGAAGCUGAGGCAGAGGAAUCAUCGCUUGAACCUGGGAGGUAGAGGUUGCAGUGAGCCGAGAUCACACCAUUGCAUUCCAGCCUGGGUGACAAGAGCAAAACUCCGUCUCAAAAAGAAAAAAAAAAAAAGUUAGUAACCAGGUUGUGUCCCACAGAGCUUUACUGGGGGCCAAACACUGUCAACCCCUCCUCAGGUCCCAGUGAGUUUGUGCACCUGGCCUUCUGACAGUAAGCGGUGAGCAGGGCAUCCCCCACCAGGACCCCAUACUUUCCUCCCAUGGGUUUCCUAUGGAAUGUUGCUGCUUCAACUUCUGAGAGCCUCUUGCUGGGGGGCCCCAUCCCUAGCCCUUGCCUCCCUGUGCUGCUUUACCUUCUUUUUGGGAGGAUAACUGCCCUCUGUUUUCAGCACCCCAAUAAGAAAGAAAAAGUCAUGACCAGAAGUCAGUGUCAGUGAUUGCUGAUGUGUGGAAACAUCUGAUGAAUGAAGAGUUUGGGUAAAAAAUAAAGGGAACUGAUGAAAACCACUUGUGUGUGAAGCCUAUAUAGUGGUGUGUGCCUGUAGUCCCAGCUACUCGGGAAGCUGAAGUGGGAGGACUGCUUGAGCACAGGAGUUGGACAUCAGCCUUGAAAAGAUAGUGAGACUCAAUCUAGAAAACAGAAACAACACUUCUGACUGGUGUCUGCCUGUGGGUUUCUGACUCUGCUCCCAAACUUAUGGUGAGAACUUCUUUGCUAACUUGAGAGUCUGCAAGAGUGAAGUUUUUGCCAAAUUUUGGCCCUUAGUUCCUCUAAAACACUAAUGGAAACGUAACCCCAUGCUUGUUAAGACCCUCCUUCUGCCCUACCAUGAUUACCAGAUCUCUGCUGAGGUUGCAAGAUGAGGUGAUCUUGCUGGAAACAAGGACAAAUGGGGGAAGAAAAUAGGGCUGGACAGGCCCAAGCAUUCAGAGGCCAGGGCUGGGGGUAGGUAGGGGCCUGCUUCAUUUGAGAACAACUAUGAAGGACAAUAGGGUUUCAACAGGGGAGAGAGUAGCGGUAUUCAAAGCAAAGCAAAAGAUGUAAGUGAAAGAUGUAAGCGGGCCGGUGCGAUGGGUCACGCCUAUAAUCCCCGUACUUUGGGAGGCCAAGGCAGGAGGAUCACCGGAACUGAGGUGUUUGAGACCUGCUUGAGCAACAUAGUAGGACCCUGUCUCUACCAAAAAAAAAAAAAAAAAUUAAAUUAGCUGGGCAUGGUGGCUACUGUAGUUUCAGCUACUCAGGAGGCUGAGGCAGGAGGAUCACUUGAGCCUGGGAGGUCAAGGCUACAGUGAGCCUGGGUAACAGAGUGAGACUGUCUCAAAAAAAAAAAAAAGGAGAAAAAGAAAGAUGUAAGUGUGUAAGUGAAGCCUGGAGAUGCAGACACCUGCGAAUGGGCUGCUGAGGGGCACUUGGCUAUGGCUGGGGCUCAGGAAAAGUGGAGCUCAGGGAAGAGAGGCUAGAACAGGGCUCAAAGGGCCUUGAAGGCCAGGCCUGUCAGGGUCCAUCACCUCCUCAGGCUGGAGAAGUCAGUGCAAGCUGCAGUGAUGGGGUCCUGAGGCCCCAGUACUUCUGCCCAUCCUCUCCCACUGUCUCCCAAGAUCAUACAGGGAAGCCUGUUUCCAGAUGCCUGUGAUUUAUUUCCAAAGGAGAGCUACAGCACAUAGGAAAAUACACAUGGCUUUUCAGUCUACAUUUUUACAGAGAAAAGAGAUUCGGUCAUUGGCUUUCUCAGUGCCAUCAUCCUGUUCCAUGAGGCUCCAGGAUGGAUGGCCUGUCUCCAAGAUCCCGCUUUCAAAGCAGCAGCUUGGCCAAGGCCUCUGGGGGUAGGAGUGAAGGGCAGCGACCCCCAUGUGCGGGUGGAGGGGAGGACAUGAGCAGCACUCACUGCAAAGCUAAGGCAAAGAAUAGAGCUGGUGGGAGAUGCCUCCCCUCACCCCAGGGGCAUGGCUUGCUGAGGCCCAGGAUACAGACCAGGAGGGGUGGGGAUGGGGGUCUGGUCCAGCCUGGAGCGGCAGCAGGACUCUGAGUGUACACAUGGGUGUGGGGUGAAGAGGGGGGCAUGCUGAAGAGGAAGCCUACCAGGGUAUAGAGGGGCUUUAGCUUGCAUAUUCCCCCUGCCCCAGAACAGCUCCCAGACCAUGGUCCCCAAUCCUACACUUGGCCCCUCUCUUAAGUUCUACUUCAGGUGGGGGUCCUGCUCAGGUUCCUUCUGCCACCUUAUCCCCUCCCACUGUCAGUGCAAAACAUUCUUAGGGCCAAGCCCCUGAGUCCCCUGCACACUGACUGGAGCUGCAGGGAAGGGAGGACAGCAAGGUGCUAGCUGGGAGCCUCCCCCAGCACCAGGAAUUCCUUGCACAUCUCUCGGACAAUCAUGCGGUCCAUCUGGCACUGGGGUGAGGUCUCCUCCUCAUUCAGGAUGCGUCGCAGUAUGGCCUGCAGGUCGGGUAGCCGGUGGCGGUGCUGCAGGUAGGGUGUGGUGCGGACUAUAGCAUGCAUCAGGGAGAGGUACUCCAUGCGCAGCUGUGGGAAGAGCAGGCCAGCUCAGGGACCCCAGGGAGGUACUGCAACCACCACUGGACAGGGACAGGACCCCACUGUCCCACAGACCCCAGGGCUGUGGACCUGAACAUCAGGGCUGCAUCCCCAGCACCCACAAUAUACCUGGCACAGAAUUGGUCUUCAAUAGUUUUUGAGUAAGCGAAUAAACGAAUCAUCCCAGCCACAGACAGCCCCAAGUAUGUGGCCUGCCCAGGGAAGUCCUGCCCAUCCUUUGAAGCUGGGUCUCUCAAGGUGCCUCUGUCUAUCAGUCAGAGGCCCUCUGCUUCUCACCCUAUCCUCUCUUACCCUGGAAGACCUCGUGCACAUUCACAGCUUCAAAUAGUGAACCACUCUCAUACCUCUUACCUAGAACUCCCCUGUGAGCUCCAGACAAGAAUAUUCAACUGCCCACUUGACAUCUCCUGCACAUGUGACAGACCUCAAAUCCACAUAUCUACCACCAAACUCAUGAUCUUUCCCAUCCUCCCAGAGUUGAAGGUUUUCUCAUGUUCUUACCUUUAGAAAGAGCACUGUUGCCGAUUCAAAAGCACAGGCCUGAAAUAUGGUGUCCUCUUUGCUUCUUGUCUCCCACAUACCUCAUAUCCAAGCCAUGUCUAAGACCUGGCCAUCCUACCUCCUACAUAUGCCCCAAAUUCAUCUCCAACAGCCUCUCCUCCAACCUAUACUCCCAACACCUCUGGCUGAACCAGUUCCAACAGCCCUUAUGAUCUAUAUAUAUAUAUCAUAUAUAUAUAUAUAUAUGAUAUAUAUAUAUAUAUAUCAUUUUUUUUUUUGAGACAGGGUCUCGUGCUGUCACCCAGGCUGGAGUGCAGUGGCAUGAUCUUGGCUCACUGCAACCUCUGACUCCUGGAUUCAAGUGAUUCUCCUGCCUCAGCCUCCCAAAUAGCUGGGAUUACAGGCAUGUGCCAAAAUGCCUGGCUAAUUUUUGUAUUUUUUUUAAGAAGAGACGGGGUUUCGCCAUGUUGGCCAGGCUGGUUUCAAACUCCAGACUUCAAGUGAUCCACCCACCUCGGCCUCCCAAAGUGCUGGGAUUACAGGCGUGAACCACCACGCCCGGCCAGCCCUUAUGACUUGACAGCUUGUUCUCACAGAGACCCCCAGUCCACUGACCUGAUGUCUGCUUCCCUCAACAUCCCUCAUUUCUCUUUUUACCUUUAAUUAGAGAAAUAAUACCAAAACCUCCUUUAGGCAGCACACCCUGCUAAGUCCCAGCCCUGGGAGUCAUACUGAGGUGCCUGCACAUCAAACACCAGCGUCUAAGCUAUAGACAAAUGCAGAGCCAUGUGCAGGCCUGAAUGUCAUUCACCACCGCAAACCUCAAACGGACACACAGCACUGCCUGAGCCUCCCACUGCUUUUCUCUGCUGUGUCACUCUCCCUUAGAGUAGUAAUAAUGUCCACCUUCUCUGUCUUUGAAACCUACCUACCUUGUCAGCUGGCCUUGUGCUUCAUAGAGAAUACAGAAGUAAUCUUGCAGAAACCCGUCUUUCCCCUCAGUACCCACAUCUCACCUGUCCCUACCAGAAUGAGCAGCCCUAGCUCCUGUCCAUGUGGGCCUGGACCUGAACUCUCCCCUCCUGCCCCAUCCACUUGACUCCUGUGGUGGCUCACCAUCUCCAACACAUCAUCCAUCUCUCUGUGCUUGCUGGAUCAUUCCCUCCGGCUCAGAACAUGCACCAUCAUCCGUACCAUUUUUGUUUUUGUUUUUUAAAGAGACAAGGUCUGGCUUUGUUGCCCAGGCUGGAGUGCAAUGACACAAUCAUGGCUCAAUGCAGCCUUGACCUCCUGGGCUCAAGUAAUCUUCCCACUUCAGCCUCCAAAGUAGUUGGAAUUACAGGUGCAUACCACCAUGCCCAGCUAAUUUUAUUUUCUACUGUGGUCCAUCAGGUUAUACAGAGGUCUCACUAUGUUGCCCAGGCUGAUCUUGAACUCAUGGACUCAAGUGAUCCUCCCACUUCGGCCUCCCAAAGUGCUGGGAUUAUAGGCGUGAGCCACUGCACCUGGCCAACAUCCCCCAUCUGUCACCCAAGCUGGAGUGCAGUGGUGUGAUCUUGGCUCACAGCAACCUCCACCUCCCGGGUUCAAGCAAUUCUCCUGCCUCAGCCUCCCAAGUAGGUGGGAUUACAGGCUCCCACCACCAUACCCAGCUAAUUUUUGUAUUUUUCGUAUUUUGUAUUUUUAGUAGAGACCACUUUGACCAGGCUGGUCUCGAAUUCCUGACCUCAAGUGAUCCACCCACCUCAGCCUCCCAAAGUGCUGGGAUUACAAGCAUGAGCCACCGCGCCUGGCCAACAUCCCCCAUCUUCAAAACACUCUCCCUGGCCAGGCACGGUGGCUCACACCUGUAAUCCCAACACUUUGGGAGGCUGAGGCAGGUGGAUUGCAUGAGGUCAGGAGUUCAAGACCAGCCUGGCCAACAUGGCGAAACCCUGUCUCUGCUAAAAUAUAAAAAUUAGCUGGGUGUGGUAGUGGGUGACUGUAAUCCCAGCAACUUGGGAGGCUGAGGCAGGAGAAUCACUUGAAACCAGGAGGCGGAGGUUACAGUGAGCCACGAUCGUGCCACUACACUCCAGCCUUGGCAACAGUGGGAGACAAACAAACAAACAAACAACAACAACAAAAAACCCCCAAAAAAACACUCUCCCUAUCCCCAUGUCAUCUCUCUCCAGCAACCUCCCUUCCAUUUUUCUCUUCCCCUUAAUAGAAAAUUCACAAGAGUUGUCUCCAUUUACUGCUUCCAACCCUCCCCUCAUUUCUACUCCCCAAUAACUUCAAGCUCUCUCAAACUUUCAUUCAGACUCUCCUCCUUGCACCCCACUGACACUGCUUGUCAGGCACCACUGACCUCUGUGUGGUGAAUCCAAUGGCCAACCCCAGUCUCGCUCAGGCUCCUAACGGUAUAGAGAUGGCUGAUCGUCUUCCUCUAAACAUGUGGCUUUGGGCUCCUGCUUUCUUGGUUCUCUUCCUGGGUUUCUCCCUAGUUGUUUCAGCUGUGCCCAGGGCUGCAGCCCGAACUUCCCGCUGACCUGCCUAUCUAUCUCAUUUCUGAGGCAAUCACAUUGUCACAGGCUUCCCAUCGUAUCUCUGCAUAGACCACUCCGAAAUGUCUCUCUAGUCUCAACUCAUUCCCCACUGCCUCCCUGAUGCCCUCGGUACCUGGGUGUCUAGCAGAUAUCUCCUCAUUCUUGACACAUUCAAAACACGACUCUCUAUUUUCCCCCAAGAAGUUCUCCCAGCCUCCCCAACUUCAAAAAUCAGCACUUCAUCCAUCUAGCUGCUCAAGAUAAAUCAAGUGGCAAGCCCUGCCAGAUCCACUUACUAAACACUCCACAGCUGGCCUCUUCUCGCCACUGCCACUGCCACGACCUAUCCCAUCCCCACCCCAUCCAUGCCACCUGGACCACUGAGGCUGCUUCCUCCCUGGCUGGCUUCCACUCUGCUGGCAUGCAGUUGAUUCCAUGUGGGAUGUUAAUCACAUCACAUUCCCCGGUCCUGAGAUCACAACCUCUUGCAGCAGCCUCCGAGGCUUUGUGUAAACUCCAUCCUCCAUGCCUCAUCUCCCUCCACUCCCUCCUCUCCAGCCUCCUCCAGCCCCACCACCUCCAGAUCACCUCAUGGCUGGCUCCUUUGGGUCUUGGUGCACCUAUCAUGGCCUCCUACACUUACCUGGCUCCAGCAGUGGCCUUGCCCCCUCAUCUCCACUCAAUGUCAUGCCCCCCACCAUUUUGUUUCAGUUUCCACACAGUGACCCCCGCUGCUGCAGCCACCUCCAGGCACCUUGUCUCCUGGUGACAGGUCUGCGAUGUGCCGCACAGUGAUGUCAAUGAGAGCCAUCAUGUCUGUGUGGUAGAAGAUGGCAGCUGUGGCCGGGCUGCCAAACACGUCCUGCAGGAACUUGAGGACAGAGUGUGGUGGCUGUGGCUCAUGUUUGAAGAUGCGCACAGGGUCAUCUAGGAGGCAGGGGUCAUAGCGGUCAGGGUGGACCUUGUGGGGAUCCCAGAGUCACCCCAGGGGGUUACGGGAGUCAUUGCAGGGGUCAUGGAGUCACAGGGCAUGGAAGUGGUACCCGCGCAGAUUCCCGGGCCCUCACCCCCUCUGUUCAGGAGCAACAACAGCUUCUCGGAGAAGAUCUUGACAUUGGCGUGUUUGCUCAGGGCAGCCAUGAUGACAUUCUGGUCAGCAGCUAAGGAAGGACAUGGGUAUAGACAGGGUGCUGAGCCUGAGAGCCACCAUGUGCUCAGCCACCGCCCAGCCAGGCCCCACCCCACCUGGCAGGUGCAGGUUGAGAGCCAGAAGCAGGUUCACGCAGAGGUCCGGCAGCUGCUCUGUGGUGUCCAAGGGCAGCCCAUCCUCGACGAUGUUCAGUAGGAACUGGGCGAAAGGCGUGCCCAGGUGCUCUGGGAGAGGGGCGCACAGAAGUCUGCAGCCCCAUUCCCCUCCGACCCCCGCACCACCCACCCUUCCUGGCUUUCUGUGAGCCUUGGGGAUAGCCUCUCCCUGCUAGGCUGUGUAGUCAGCAGGUCCCAGGCCCUCGGGCAAUGGGCCCUGGCUUAGGACCUGUGAUCAGCUGGUCGGUUACUGCAUUCUUACCAUAGUGUGCAUAGGGCACUGCCUCUCCCAUGGAGAAGACCAUGGCCAGGAUGAGGGCAGAGUAACAGAGUUUCUGGUGGUCUGGGGGGGACAAGGCAGGCAGUCAGAGUCCCCAAAGAUGGCAGGAAACCCCAGCAGAUGGCAGGAACACCCUCCAGAUAGCAGGAAGUUCCCUCCUACCCCGCCCUCCAGCCUCACCCUGCGUGUCUGUCUGCAUGUCCCUCGCCAGCUCUACAGGCAGCACGGAUGACACAAGCGUGGAGAUGAUGGCUGCAUCCAGGCUGCACAUGGCGCCAAAGCACUUGAGGAGCAGCAGCCGCAGUGAUGCUCGGUGUUCCUGGCAGGGAACCCUGCGUGCUCAGUGCCUGGAACUCCCCCACUAUCUAGGUCUCUCCAUUACCCCUCCCCUCCAUCCUGCACAUACCAUUUGGUAAUAGGCCACCAAGGCCAGGACAGACUCGAACUCGUUUCUCUUGCACAUUUUCUUGCAAACUUCAGGGUCUGCAUCAGU
rnacentral:lncRNA from 1 species